GACGAACGCUUUCGGCGUGCCUAAUACAUGCAAGUCGAACGCUUCUUUUUCCACCGGAGCUUGCUCCACCGGAAAAAGAGGAGUGGCGAACGGGUGAGUAACACGUGGGUAACCUGCCCAUCAGAAGGGGAUAACACUUGGAAACAGGUGCUAAUACCGUAUAACAAUCGAAACCGCAUGGUUUUGAUUUGAAAGGCGCUUUCGGGUGUCGCUGAUGGAUGGACCCGCGGUGCAUUAGCUAGUUGGUGAGGUAACGGCUCACCAAGGCCACGAUGCAUAGCCGACCUGAGAGGGUGAUCGGCCACAUUGGGACUGAGACACGGCCCAAACUCCUACGGGAGGCAGCAGUAGGGAAUCUUCGGCAAUGGACGAAAGUCUGACCGAGCAACGCCGCGUGAGUGAAGAAGGUUUUCGGAUCGUAAAACUCUGUUGUUAGAGAAGAACAAGGAUGAGAGUAACUGUUCAUCCCUUGACGGUAUCUAACCAGAAAGCCACGGCUAACUACGUGCCAGCAGCCGCGGUAAUACGUAGGUGGCAAGCGUUGUCCGGAUUUAUUGGGCGUAAAGCGAGCGCAGGCGGUUUCUUAAGUCUGAUGUGAAAGCCCCCGGCUCAACCGGGGAGGGUCAUUGGAAACUGGGAGACUUGAGUGCAGAAGAGGAGAGUGGAAUUCCAUGUGUAGCGGUGAAAUGCGUAGAUAUAUGGAGGAACACCAGUGGCGAAGGCGGCUCUCUGGUCUGUAACUGACGCUGAGGCUCGAAAGCGUGGGGAGCAAACAGGAUUAGAUACCCUGGUAGUCCACGCCGUAAACGAUGGGUGCUAAGUGUUGGAGGGUUUCCGCCCUUCAGUGCUGCAGCUAACGCAUUAAGCACUCCGCCUGGGGAGUACGACCGCAAGGUUGAAACUCAAAGGAAUUGACGGGGGCCCGCACAAGCGGUGGAGCAUGUGGUUUAAUUCGAAGCAACGCGAAGAACCUUACCAGGUCUUGACAUCCUUUGACCACUCUAGAGAUAGAGCUUCCCCUUCGGGGGCAAAGUGACAGGUGGUGCAUGGUUGUCGUCAGCUCGUGUCGUGAGAUGUUGGGUUAAGUCCCGCAACGAGCGCAACCCUUAUUGUUAGUUGCCAUCAUUCAGUCGGGCACUCUAGCAAGACUGCCGGUGACAAACCGGAGGAAGGUGGGGAUGACGUCAAAUCAUCAUGCCCCUUAUGACCUGGGCUACACACGUGCUACAAUGGGAAGUACAACGAGUCGCGAAGUCGCGAGGCUAAGCUAAUCUCUUAAAGCUUCUCUCAGUUCGGAUUGCAGGCUGCAACUCGCCUGCAUGAAGCCGGAAUCGCUAGUAAUCGCGGAUCAGCACGCCGCGGUGAAUACGUUCCCGGGCCUUGUACACACCGCCCGUCACACCACGAGAGUUUGUAACACCCGAAGUCGGUGAGGUAACCAUUUGGAGCCAGCCGCCUAAGGUGGGAUAGAUGAUUGGGGUGAA
rnacentral:rRNA from 1 species